GACUGUGGUUGAAGAAAUUGGAAACAUUUUAGUAGAAAGAUCGGACACAAAAAGGGACGUCUCAAACCCAGCUAACUGGUUUAUUUCUCGACCAUCCUAUAUCAUGAUAGCUUCACGAAUGACUUGCCCACUGGCGCCACACUGGCCUCGCUGUUUUCGACGGUUCUCAGGUUGCCGGGGCGGCUUGUUUGAACUGUUUGAACCACAGGUUUGAACUGUUUCAACGGGAAUCAUGGCAAAUCCACUUGGAGGCUUAUUUAAACCAAAGUCCCGCUGGCGGGAAAAGAUAACGGACGGAGCAGCACUGCGUGGCCUCGCAAUCCCAGCGACCCGACGAGCUCGCGAAGUGGUGCUUGGAAAACGACCCUCCCAAAGCCGACGACGCGCACUCGCACGUACAUGCGCAAGCGAUCACCUCUGUGGACAGCGAAGAAACAUCGUCGCACUGUGACAACUUUGUUGGCGUUCGUUUCAUAAAACCCGUUCUAUAAGGAGCUUGUGUCCACCCUGAAAAGCCUGACGAGCCACGUGCUCGUAUUCAAGCUGGUGCCACGAGGUGGGCCUUUCGGGCAUGCCAGGGAGGAGGAGAGGCUGUCCCUGAACCGCCUACUAGUACGGAAGGUGUUGCCCUCGGCGUUACCAUCGUGAAUGUCGACUACCUCUUCUCAACCGAGGCAACAUGGUCAACCUCGACAAGCUGGCUACCGACCAGUACCACGUGUGCCGUGUCCGCGGCAUCCAGCGUCUUGCAUUUGCGCUCGGCAAGGCACUCGCAAAACUUUAAGGUAAUUCUAUCUUUGGUGGGUGCUGUGCCCCAUUCUAACUGUUGUGUCCAGAAGUAGACACACGGA
rnacentral:lncRNA from 1 species